CGGAUCGCAGGCUGCAACCCGCCUGCGUGAAGUUGGAAUCGCUAGUAAUCGCGGAUCAGCAUGCCGCGGUGAAUACGUUCCCGGGCCUUGUACACACCGCCCGUCACACCAUGAGAGUCGGGAACACCCGAAGUCCGUAGCUUAACCGCAAGGGGGGCGCGGCCGAAGGUGGGUUCGAUAAUUGGGGUGAAGUCGUAACAAGGUAAC
rnacentral:rRNA from 1 species